rnacentral:sRNA from 1 species
GCUCCUGUAAAAUGUCAGUCAGAGAGUGUUCCUUGUAAUGUCAUUUGCCUUAGUAUAAAAGCUGGAGUCUUGGGUGAUGGGGAGAUGGCUCAGCAGUUCAGAGCGUUUGUGACUCUUCCAGGUGACCCAUGUUUGAUUCUUAGCACUAAUGUCAGGUGGCUCUCAACUGGGAAGGAUCUAGCUGCAGGCAUUUUUUCAACAGCUCAGCCCAUGUCAGCACACAGGAACAGAAUAAAAAGGGGUUUAGGCAUGCUGUCCUUGCUCCCCCUUACUCUGAUGAGACCCCAGCCUAUGGGAUGCUGCUGCUCACACUCAGGUGGACCCUCCUAUGUCAGCAAAUCCUCUGAAAAUGACCUCACAGACCGAGCAGUGGGUGUAGCAGAAACAAAAGAUUGCAGGUGUUUUACAUGGAGAUAAACUUCUAAGAGCUAAUACCCUACUUUUAAUCAGCUCUCUGGGACCCCAACCUUCAAACCACAUAAAUUCAGCAGCAAAAUAGUACAUUCUGAGGUUGAACUUUCUCCUCUGCAGGAAGAAGAGAGGAACCUGGUAGCUAGUUUGGUCCAAGCAAGGUGCUUUCCCUGUGCUCUGCUGGAGGCAUAAACUCCGUGAACUGAAAAUAGCCAAGAAAACAACUAUAAUUUCCUCCUUGCUUCCUACAAAGGAUUGAACAAAAAUGCUCAGGCCCUCCCGGGCGAUCAUAAAGAAGUUUAAAAUUUCAAAUAUUAUUAAAUACGACAGAAGAUGGUACUGGGUCUUCUGGAAAUGGAAUGGUUUUGAGCCACCUGAUUUGUAUGCUAGGAACUGAACUCCGGUCCUCUGUAAAAUCAGCAAGAACUCUCAACUCCUGAGCUGCUUCUUGCUGUUUUAAUGGUGAUUCAAACAUUGAAGAGGAAAGUUUCUGAGCAGCGGUCCACAGAACUUUCUCAAACUGAGCAGAACUUUGGAGUAGAAGGUUUUGGUAGGAAGGCAUCAUCCCAAAAUGUCAUCAGAAUUGGAGGAACUCAAAUUUGAAAUCCAGAAGUGUAAAUUCGAGAGGCAUGAACUUUAUCAAAUCCUGGACCUUUAUAUCUAUGAUGAUUGGGACUACAGGCUGGAUGUUUAAUUGCCAAUACUUCAAUCUGAACAUGCGAUGAGAAUGACGGCUAUGCAAAUGAUAACCAACUCAAUAAGUGAUGCCAUGGAGAGGUACAAGGAGCUCAUAUGAGUGAACAGUUUCUACCGGCUUUCGCCCGAUUCUCGGUACCGUGUCGGUGCUGGCGCCGACAGCUCUGCUCUCCAGAGUCAGCAGAAAUGGCAUGCAUCAGCAACACUGAGCCAGGAGAUGGAGACAUUAAUUCAGUGUGCUAGCUAGCUGGUGGCUUUAGGGUAAGUCUCCAGUCAAAAACCUUAUGAGUAGGGCUCUGCAACAGGACCAGCUUGGGAGCCACUUGUUAAAGCAGAGAAGCCUACUGGAGGAAGGAACCAUGUCACCAGUGCUUCAUGGAUCCCUUUCCUCCACAACAGAAAGACA